rnacentral:lncRNA from 1 species
UCUUGAGACAUUACCAAGGAUCCCCUUCUGGUGAGAGCACUGUUUUGGAGUGGGAGGUGUGAAAUCAAACAAAGCGAAGGCCAAAUCCAGCAGGUUGGACUUGCUGCUACACCCAUCCAUUCCAUUUUCUCUGCUGCAAAACGGGUACAUGAGUGUCACGUAUAAGAGUGUCUGGAGCCACGAAAAUGCUCCAUAAACAUGAGCAAGGCACCUCAUUACCAUGAGUUCAGCCCCCUUAUUCUAUAGAGGAUGAUGCUGAGGUCCAGAGGCCUCAAGGGCAGGAAUGCAGGAUUUUCUACCAGCUUGGGUCACCUGUGGGCCAUCCGUCUGAUUCUGCCAGACUCAAUCAGUUCCUCCUCCUGAGCAAUCAGCCACGAACCCCGAUGCGUGCAGGCCGGUAGGGAACUUAUGAUUUUCCUAUGACUCAUUAAGACAAACACACUGCUAUUUUAAGAACAUUCGACCUUGUUCUACCUAAAAUUUUUGCAUCACUUGCUGGUGGCCAGAUAUCACGUGGCAAAGGCUGAGCUGGCUGUAAGUAUACAGCAGGCACUCGGCAAGUCUUAGUUUUGGUGAAUGGUGUUUCCACAUUGGGUCAGCACAUACGGACCCAAAGUGUGGGUCAGAAGCUUCUUGAGAAUCAGAACGCCACCUUCACUGUCAGCAAAGCAUCCUGGAUGAGGUUCCGCCCCAGCAACUUUGUAAUCUAGCGUGUUUGAAGUGUCUAAAGACUCCCAGCAUAAUGAAUGGAGCCCUCGGUAGCAGAGCCGGGGUUUUCAGCUCUGUCUCCUGGCAAGUCCCCUCCCACCAAUAGCCUCAAUCUCCAACCAAGGCUCUCCUCGAAGAAUGGGAUACAUUUAUCUUUCAUAGCUGACUCCUGGGAGCAAAUGAAAAAGUUAAU